UUACUGCUACAANACCUCAGUCUUUUCAGAUGUUGUAUAAAUUCACCUGGAAAUACUGAGGUUGAGUUUCACUGAAC
rnacentral:pre_miRNA from 21 species